rnacentral:rRNA from 1 species
UACAGAGGAUGCAAGCGUUAUCCGGAAUGAUUGGGCGUAAAGCGUCUGUAGGUGGCUUUUUAAGUCCGCCGUCAAAUCCCAGGGCUCAACUCUGGACAGGCGGUGGAAACUACCAAGCUGGAGUACGGUAGGGGCAGAGGGAAUUUCCGGUGGAGCGGUGAAAUGCGUAGAGAUCGGGAGGAACACUUGUGGCGAAAGCGGCUCACUGGACCGCAACUGACGCUGAGGCGCGAAAGCUAGGGGAGCAAACAGG